rnacentral:tRNA from 1 species
UCUGAAAUAGCUCAGUUGGUAGAGCGCCAGACUAUAAAUCGAAAGGGCCUUGGUUCUAUCCCAGGUUUCGGCA